UACGUAGGGUGCAAGCGUUAAUCGGAAUUACUGGGCGUAAAGCGUGCGCAGGCGGUUUGGUAAGACAGAUGUGAAAUCCCCGGGCUUAACCUGGGAAUUGCAUUUGUGACUGCCCGGCUAGAGUGUGUCAGAGGGGGGUAGAAUUCCACGUGUAGCAGUGAAAUGCGUAGAUAUGUGGAGGAAUACCGAUGGCGAAGGCAGCCCCCUGGGAUAACACUGACGCUCAUGCGCGAAAGCGUGGGGAGCAAACAGG
rnacentral:rRNA from 1 species